CUUGCUUCUCUUGAGAGCGGCGGACGGGUGAGUAAUGCCUAGGAAUCUGCCUGGUAGUGGGGGAUAACGUUCGGAAACGGACGCUAAUACCGCAUACGUCCUACGGGAGAAAGCAGGGGACCUUCGGGCCUUGCGCUAUCAGAUGAGCCUAGGUCGGAUUAGCUAGUUGGUGGGGUAAUGGCUCACCAAGGCGACGAUCCGUAACUGGUCUGAGAGGGUGAUCAGUCACACUGGAACUGAGACACGGUCCAGACUCCUACGGGAGGCAGCAGUGGGGAAUAUUGGACAAUGGGCGAAAGCCUGAUCCAGCCAUGCCGCGUGUGUGAAGAAGGUCUUCGGAUUGUAAAGCACUUUAAGUUGGGAGGAAGGGUUGUAGAUUAAUACUCUGCAAUUUUGACGUUACCGACAGAAUAAGCACCGGCUAACUCUGUGCCAGCAGCCGCGGUAAUACAGAGGGUGCAAGCGUUAAUCGGAAUUACUGGGCGUAAAGCGCGCGUAGGUGGUUUGUUAAGUUGGAUGUGAAAUCCCCGGGCUCAACCUGGGAACUGCAUUCAAAACUGACUGACUAGAGUAUGGUAGA
rnacentral:rRNA from 1 species